GAUGAACGCUGGCGGCGUGCCUAAUACAUGCAAGUCGAGCGAACAGACGAGGAGCUUGCUCCUCUGACGUUAGCGGCGGACGGGUGAGUAACACGUGGAUAACCUACCUAUAAGACGGGGAUAACUUCGGGAAACCGGAGCUAAUACCGGAUAAUAUAUUGAACCGCAUGGUUCAAUGGUGAAAGACGGUUUUGCUGUCACUUAUAGAUGGAUCCGCGCCGCAUUAGCUAGUGGGUAAGGUAACGGCUUACCAAGGCAACGAUGCGUAGCCGACCUGAGAGGGUGAUCGGCCACACUGGAACUGAGACACGGUCCAGACUCCUACGGGAGGCAGCAGUAGGGAAUCUUCCGCAAUGGGCGAAAGCCUGACGGAGCAACGCCGCGUGAGUGAUGAAGGUCUUCGGAUCGUAAAACUCUGUUAUUAGGGAAGAACAAAUGUGUAAGUAACUAUGCACGUCUUGACGGUACCUAAUCAGAAAGCCACGGCUAACUACGUG
rnacentral:rRNA from 1 species